UACGAAGGGGGCUAGCGUUGUUCGGAAUCACUGGGCGUAAAGGGCGCGUAGGCGGCCUUGUAAGUUAGAUGUGAAAGCCCUGGGCUUAACCCGGGAAUUGCAUUUAAUACUGCAAAGCUUUGAGUAAGGUAGGGGAUAGCGGAAUACCCAGUGUAGAAGUGAAAUUCGUAGAUAUUGGGUGGAACACCAAUGGCGAAGGCAGCUAUCUGGACCUUUACUGACGCUGAGGCGCGAAAGCGUGGGGAGCAAA
rnacentral:rRNA from 1 species